rnacentral:rRNA from 1 species
GUGGAUUAGAUACCCUAGUAGUCCACGCCGUAAACGGUGGGUGCUAGCUGUGGGCCACAUUCCACGUGGUCCGUAACGAAGUUAACACAUUAAGCACCCCGCCUGGGGAGUACGGCCGCAAGGCUAAAACUCAAAGGAAUUGACGGGGGCCCGCACAAGCGGCGGAGCAUGCGGAUUAAUUCGAUGCAACGCGAAGAACCUUACCAAGGCUUGACAUGUAGAGGAAAAGUGCAGAGAUGCACUCCCCGCAAGGUCUCUACACAGGUGGUGCACGGCCGUCGUCAACU